rnacentral:misc_RNA from 1 species
AACGCACAUUGCGCCCUGUGGUAUUCCGCAGGGCAUGCCUGUUCGAGCGUCAUUACAACCACUCAAGCCUGGCUUGGUAUUGGGGUUUGCGGUUCCGCAGCCCCUAAAAUCAGUGGCGGUGCCGGUGUGGCUCUACGCGUAGUAACUCUUCUCGCGAUGGAGUUCCCCUGGAUACCUGCCAGAACCCCCCAAUUUUUACAGGUUGACCUCGGAUCAGGUAGGGAUACCCGCUGAACUUAA